UACGUAGGUGGCGAGCGUUGUCCGGAUUUAUUGGGCGUAAAGCGCGCGCAGGCGGUGCGGUAAGUCUGUCGUGAAAUCUCCCGGCUCAACUGGGAGGGUGCGGUGGAGACUGCCGGACUGGAGGCACUCAGGGGCCGGUGGAAUUCCCGGUGUAGUGGUGAAAUGCGUAGAGAUCGGGAGGAACACCAGUGGCGAAGGCGGCCGGGCUGGGGGUGACCUGGAC
rnacentral:rRNA from 1 species